CUGGUUGAUCCUGCCAGUAGUGAUAUGCUUGUUUCAAAGAUUAAGCCAUGCAUGUCUAAGUAUAAGCGAACUUAUACAGUGAAACUGCGGAUGGCUCAUUAAAACAGUUUGAAUUUAUUUGAUGAAUGUAUGAGAAUACUACUUGGAUAACCGUAGUAAUUCUAGAGCUAAUACAUGCAACGACGCCCGACCGUUUCACUACGGAAGGGCUGUAUUUAUUGGAUACCAAAACCAUCCUUCCCUCGGGAAGUUUUGUUUGAUGAUUCACAAUAACUGAUCGGAUCGCCACUGUGGUGGCGACAGGUCAUUCAACAUUCUGCCCUAUCAGCUUUCGAUGGUUGUGUAGUGGACAACCAUGGCCAUAACGGGUAACGGAGAAUCAGGGUUCGAUUCCGGAGAAGGAGCUUGAGAAUUGGCUACUACAUCUAAGGAAGGCAGCAGGCGCGCAAAUUACCCAAUCCCGAUUCGGGGAGGUAGUGACAAAAAAUAACAAUACCGGGCCUUUUUGGGCUUGGUAAUUGGAAUGAGGGAGAGUUAAACGGACCAUCGAGUAUCCAUUGGAGGGCAAGUCUGGUGCCAGCAGCUGCGGUAAUACCAGCUCCAAUAGCGUAUAUUAAAGUUGUUGCAGUUAAAAAGCUCGUAGUUGGACUUGUGUGCGCUGUCCGCGGGUGGCCUGCGCCCAAAAGGGCGUUUCGGUUCGGCCCCGGUGGCGCCUUGAAAUCUGCAGCUGGGGGGACGUUGGCCUUAACUGGUCGGCGACCGCACGCCGGCUGCUCGGUUACUGUGAGAAAAUUAGAGUGUUCAAGGCAGGCAUUGGGUGCAAUUGAAUACAUUAGCAUGGAAUAAUAAAAUAUGGCUCCUGCCGUAUUUUGUUGGUUUUGACUGGUGGGAGUAAUGAUUGAUAGGGACGGUUGGGGGUGCUAGUAUUGAGCGGCCAGAGGUGAAAUUCAUGGAUUCGCUCAAGACUAACUUAUGCGAAAGCAUUCACCAAGGACGUCCUCUUUAAUCAAGAACGAAAGUUGGGGGAUCGAAGACGAUCAGAUACCGUCGUAGUCUCAACCAUAAACUAUGUCGACUUGGGAUCGGCGGUAGUUUUUUCAUUAAGACACUGUCGGGACCACGGGAGAAAUCAAAGUGUCUGGACUCUGGGGGAAGUAUGGUCGCAAGGCUGGAACUUGAAGGAAUUGACGGAAGGGCACCACCAGGAGU
rnacentral:rRNA from 1 species